GGGUUGCUAGUCAAAUAAAAUUCAAGACACUAUAAUAAAAUUAGGUCAAAGGAAAGUAAACUGAUAUAAAAUCAUAUAUGUUAAAAUUAUUUACGAUUUAAUUUCAUUGCUUAUUGAUUUUGUUAGCCAAGAAAGAAAAGAUGAUAAAUAAAAUAUUUAUGACUUUACAGGAAUAAACCUUACCAGUAACACAAAAAGUGAGUCAAGAUGUGACGAUACAAUUCAUCUAAGAGCUGAAGAGAAAGGCAACUGACAUCAAGAGUGUUGGGGGGGGGGGGACCAUUUUGGUAUUAAAAAAACUUACCUGUGUGAAAGCUUGUGCAUCCCAAAAGUUUGAGUGAAUUAUUGUAUAAAUUGCUGUGAGAAGUAGAUCACAAAGGAAGAAUGGAGGAAACAGGACUUUCAAAAAGAGAUUUCAGCAAGCUGUUGGUG